AUCCAACUAAGUCCCACAUUGUUCAAUUACAUAAAUCUCGAACAGUUUAUGAGCGUAAACAAGCGAGAGUCAGAUCGUCCCUUCGGGGACAUCCGAUAAAAUUGGAACGAUACAGAGAAGAUUAGCAUGGCCCCUGCGCAAGGAUGACACGCACAAAUCGAGAAAUGGUCCAAAUUUUUUUUUCAUCACUUGAUUCACAGAAUCAAUGGGUUUUCUUCUGUUUCCCUUUUUCCUGUUGGUUACUCUCUUAUUUGUAGGUUUUUUUUUUUUCAUUCGUUGGUCUCAAGGAGGAUGAGGACUCAUACAACCAGGACUUCCUGGAGGUGCAAUCGCAAGAAUUAUAUGAAGAUUUUCUCGGUUUGUAUCCUGCUGUGGAGGGAGGUUGCUAAGUCGUUGAAAAGUCGCAGCAUAGACUCCUAGUAAUCUGAUUUGGAAAGAAAAUCUGUGUAGUGAUGAUAUGGAUGCUGUUGAGUGCUUAGUUUUGCUGAGAUUCUGUGAUAGCUUUCUUAUUUUCUUGAUGUUGCAUCGCUGUGAAUUAACGUGCAAAUCUUCCUUGUGAUAGUUGUCAAGUGAAGUCCCAACAGGAUUGAAACUUUACAAGAGCAAGUCGAUUGGUGUCCCAACUUAGUUACAAGGAACAUGUCUGCCACGAGCCGAUGGUUACAGUGGGGUCGAUAUCCUAUGCAUUGAAUCUCAAACUUGAUGUGUCCCCUCUAAUUGUUUUAGCCUCCCAUACUUAUAAAAAAAAAAAAUGGUUGUCUUAGCCUCCCACGGGCCAUGUUUUUACUAAGUGCGCCUCGCCCAUAUUUCCCUUCUCCAAGUACCAAUUUUUAGUUGACCUUGCAAACCAAAUUGAACUGUAUUUCAUGGCCAUGCUCUCGAAAGGAACUCUUGGCGCCUUAAAUUUUAUACCAACUUCUGCUCAAUGAGGGCAUUUGGAUUCAGGUGGGGGUUUGUUUGCAGAUUUUGGUAGGGAUAUAUCUUUCGUUUGGACUCCCAGGUAAAGACUGGUAACAGGUUUGUUUGACGAGUGACUUGUGAGAGCUUGGCCGGUAAGAUGUGCUUUAUCAGAACAUGAUGUUGCUAUAAAGGGGUGAUAGGACCUUCGCCGGAGCUAUGAGGAGGUAUGUUUACUUGAUUUAUGAGCGUAAGAUUACUUAAGACUGAUGGAUAUUACUGGUAAAAUUCAAACUCUUUAUCAUUAUCUUGUUUGAGUGAUGAAUUCAAGCCCCAUAGCGUGGUCAUGAGAUCAACAGAAUAGGGAAAAAAAAAAAAAAACUGAGGUGUGUAUUUACUUUUAAAACAUAAAAUGACAGUAGGCACUAAAUUUACUAAGCAUGCUAAAAUCAGGUGCUUGUUGAGAUAAUGGUACAAGCUAGAACAACUGGAUGUGCAACUUAAUGAUUUGAAUUGGGAUUGCUCUUAUUUUCUUUCAAUAAACUUGUAGAACUUCGCUGGAAUACUCUUUCCUUUCAUCCAACCUUGUAGCCAUCCUAUGCUAUACUAUCCUGUAUGCUGUCUUGCUUAAAAAUGUUAAUACAGACCCAACACGUUGGUGGUCAAUUUCAAGUUUCCCUUCCGAGUUCCUCGUCCUUGAGGUGGUCAUCAUCAGAAACAGCAACAGCCCACUCAGAUUCAAAUGUGACAUCCAGGACAUAGCAUGGAAAGCAAGACAAAGCAGGAAAGCAACAUGGGGGUAGAUCCAAAGAUCUCAACAACAAAUAGGGAAGGAAAAGUAGAAGGCUUGCAAGACUAAAGACCAGAAAUAGCUGGCUCCUAUUCAUGGUACUGGCUACGUAAUCAGUUGUGAGAGAGAUAGUGCUGAUCGGAUAACAUGUUCUUGAAGGGCAGUUUGCUGAGGUUGCUUGCAGGCCUGCAGUACCUUAUUGACUGCACUUUGAAUAGGAAAGCCACGAAGAAGCAGACCAAUAUGGAGAAGCCAAGCUCGCUUUCAUCUCCAAACACAAGAAAUUCCCAUUUGUCCGAGCAGUGGAAGCCAAUAGGGUGGAUGCCAUUACGUUGUUUUGCAGUUGCUGCACAGCAAGAACGCCAUUAUUGGACAAGUUCUCCGUUAUAGCGUGGGAGAAGCAGGCAAUUGACGACAUGGAUGCCAAUAAAAGUCUUGUUGGGGUGCUUCAGAAUUCGAUAGAGGAGCCGUAUGCGAUGGUAUCAUAAUGCCUACAUUAAAGUAAGGUCUGAAGGAUAAUGCGUAAUCAACAACUUUUCCCUUCAUUGCCAUAAAUGUGUGGGGAUCGUUUUCCCUUUGCUGUACAACCGACCAUUUUGUUUGUUCUUGAAGGACGGAGACGAAAGAUAGAGAGAAGGGGAGUCCAGUGUAAUACCAAUUACUGAGAUGAUUUGAGUGAUACCAAUUUAAGCGAAACAAUUGAUGAUAUGUAAUGAUUAACUUUCUAGUAAGUCUCACACGUACGUGGGGACGUAAACCAAUCCAUCACAUGAAAUCAAAGAAUCAAGCAACCAAUUGAAUAGAAUUUAGACAUGUUUUGAUA